GGGGAAUAUUGGACAAUGGGCGCAAGCCUGAUCCAGCCAUGCCGCGUGAGUGAUGAAGGCCUUAGGGUUGUAAAGCUCUUUCAGUAGGGAAGAUAAUGACGGUACCUACAGAAGAAGCCCCGGCUAACUUCGUGCCAGCAGCCGCGGUAAUACGAAGGGGGCUAGCGUUGUUCGGAUUUACUGGGCGUAAAGCGCACGUAGGCGGUUUGUUAAGUCAGGGGUGAAAUCCCGGAGCUCAACUCCGGAACUGCCCUUGAUACUGGCAAGCUAGAGUCCGGAAGAGGUGAGUGGAACUCCUAGUGUAGAGGUGGAAUUCGUAGAUAUUAGGAAGAACACCAGUGGCGAAGGCGGCUCACUGGUCCGGAACUGACGCUGAGGUGCGAAAGCGUGGGGAGCAAAC
rnacentral:rRNA from 1 species